GACGUUACUGGCAGAAUAAGCACCGGCUAACUCUGUGCCAGCAGCCGCGGUAAUACAGAGGGUGCGAGCGUUAAUCGGAAUUACUGGGCGUAAAGCGCGCGUAGGCGGUUUGUUAAGUUGGAUGUGAAAUCCCCGAGCUCAACUUGGGAAUUGCAUUCAAUACUGGGAAGCUAGAGUAUGGUAGAGGAUGGUGGAAUUUCAGGUGUAGCGGUGAAAUGCGUAGAUAUAGGAAGGAACACCAAUGGCGAAGGCGGCCACCUGGCCUAAUACUGACGCUGAGGUGCGAAAGCAUGGGGAGCAAACAGGAUUAGAUACCCUGGUAGUCCACGCCGUAAACGAUGUCAUACUAGCCGUUGGAAGCUUGAGCUCUUUAGUGGCGCAGCUAACGCAUAUAAGUUAGACCGCCUGGGGAGUACGGCUCGCAAGGACUAAAACUCAAAUGAAUUGACGGGGGCCCGCACAAGCGGUGGAGCAUGUGGUUUAAUUCGAUGCAACGCGAAGAACCUUACCUGGCCUUGACAUCCUAUGAACUUUCUAGAGAUGGAUUGGUGCCU
rnacentral:rRNA from 1 species